rnacentral:rRNA from 1 species
UACGAGGGGGGCAAGCGUUGUUCGGAAUUACUGGGCGUAAAGGGCGCGUAGGCGGGAUGGCAAGUCGGUCGUGAAAUCCUUCGGCUCAACCGAAGAACGUCGAUCGAUACUGCUGUUCUUGAGGGUUGCAGAGGAGACUGGAAUUCCCGGUGUAGCGGUGAAAUGUGUAGAGAUCGGGAGGAACACCGGUGGCGAAGGCGGUUCUCUGGGCCUGACCUGACGCUGAGGAGCGAAAGCGUGGGGAGCGAACAGG